GCCCAGACUCCUACGGGAGGCAGCAGUGAGGAAUAUUGGUCAAUGGUCGGGAGACUGAACCAGCCAAGUCGCGUGAGGGAAGACUGCCCUAUGGGUUGUAAACCUCUUUUGUCAGGGAGCAACGCCGGCUACGUGUAGCCGGACUGAGAGUACCUGAAGAAAAAGCAUCGGCUAACUCCGUGCCAGCAGCCGCGGUAAUACGGAGGAUGCGAGCGUUAUCCGGAUUUAUUGGGUUUAAAGGGUGCGUAGGCGGACGCUUAAGUCAGCGGUAAAAUUGCGGGGCUCAACCUCGUCGAGCCGUUGAAACUGGGUGCCUUGAGUGGGCGAGAAGUACGCGGAAUGCGUGGUGUAGCGGUGAAAUGCAUAGAUAUCACGCAGAACUCCGAUUGCGAAGGCAGCAUACCGGCGCCCGACUGACGCUGAGGCACGAAAGCGUGGGUAUCGAACAGGAUUAGAUACCCUGGUA
rnacentral:rRNA from 1 species